GCUGGCGGCGUGCCUACACAUGCAAGUCGAACGAGAAAGUGGAGCAAUCCAUGAGUAAAGUGGCGACCGGGUGAGUAACACGUGACUAACCUACCUCCGAGUGGGGAAUAACUCCGGGAAACCGGGGCUAAUACCGCAUAACAUCGCAAGAUCAAAGCAGCAAUGCGCUUGGAGAGGGGGUCGCGGCUGAUUAGCUCGUUGGCGGGGUAACGGCCCACCAAGGCGAAGAUCGGUAUCCGGCCUGAGAGGGCGCACGGACACACUGGAACUGAAACACGGUCCAGACUCCUACGGGAGGCAGCAGUGGGGAAUUUUGCGCAAUGGGGGAAACCCUGACGCAGCAACGCCGCGUGGAGGAUGAAGCCCUUUGGGGCGUAAACUCCUUUCGACUCGGACGAUAAUGACGGUACGAGUGGAAGAAGCACCGGCUAACUCUGUGCCAGCAGCCGCGGUAAUACAGAGGGUGCGAGCGUUGUUCGGAAUUAUUGGGCGUAAAGGGCGCGUANGCGGUGCGGUAAGUCACCUGUGAAAUCUCCC
rnacentral:rRNA from 1 species